rnacentral:lncRNA from 1 species
AGGGUCUCUUGCAUAUCCAUGUGCAUCUUAGAAUCAGCUUCUCAAUUUCUCUAAGGAAAAAAAGUCUUCAGAUCCAUGAAUGUGAGACAUCUUUCCAUUCAUUUAGGUCUUCUAAAUGUUCAUGUUAUGCUGCUUCAUAUUUUUUGUCUAAUUUUCACAAUGGUUCAUUCUAUUUGGCAGGGGCUUCCCAGGUGGCUCUGUGGUAAAGAAUCCUCCUGCUAGUGCAGAAGAGGCAAGUUCAAUCCCUGGGUCAGGAAGAACCCCUGGAGUAGGACAUGGCAACCCACUCUACUAUUUUGCCUGGAAACUUCCAUGGACAGAGAAGCCUGGCAGGUCGCAGUCCAUGGGUUCACAAAGAGUUGGACACAACUGAGCAUACACAUAAUGUUAGUGUAAAAUCUCCUUGUUUAUUGUUGAAUAUCAUUUUUUUGGAUGUCAUUUCUUUGAUCAUUUUCCUGCAGGAAUUGGAAAAUGAGCAAAUGACCAUGAUGAAAUGCAUGUCCAUAUCUGUGUUUAGAGAAGACUCUGACUUCAAGGUGAUAAACUCUGACCAGCCUCUACUUGUGUUCCCAACCUCAGUGGGGCUUCUGGAUAGAGUCUGUAACCCAUCUGUGAAAAAUCUAAAUACUGGUCAUAUUCUCGUUUGAAUGGACACCUGUGGUUCUGACCUCAACUUGCUAUCAGAGCCUGAAUAAAAGUGUGUUUCUCCAACAUGAUCAUUAAUUCAUCCAUAGGUCUACCCAGCUAUUGGCUCACUGACUUGUUCAGUCACCAAC